AUAAUUUUUUAAUAAUUUAUUUAGACAAGUCAGCUAGUUGUCUUCUAUACUGAUCUCUACAGCUUCACUUUCUUCUCCCAAAAAUGCAGUCUCUUUUUCUUUUUUCUGCCAAACUACUGCACCUGAAAAUUUCCAAUAUAUGGCACCUUCCUCUUAGUAUCCCUCAAUCAAGAUGCAAACCAUCUUUAGAUCAUAUUUUGAAAGUAUAUUCUCUCUGCAAUAGUCCUUAACUGGCAUCUAUUAACUACCCAGAGAAGUUUUGAAUUUUCCCAACAAAGCUAUACUAUUAAAAAGAUACGAUUUAGAACUAAGCUAACUAUAUUUUAAAUAUGCAUUAUUUAAACUACUUCCAGUUAUGAUACCAAAAAAUAUUUUUAGAAGACAACAACACUUCAGUGUUACCUCUGUAGAACAUUUCUGUAGCUGUUCCUUUAACUAAAAUGGACAUGGACCAAAUGGAAAUAUUUAUGUCUAAGAAGAACCUCGCAAAAAUAUUUUAUAUAUGACUAGGAAAGGAAAAAUGAGCAGGGCUUGGAAGAAUAACAGCAACAAGAGAUAUCACUAUCAGAAAUAAAAUUAAAUGUAGACAGGAACAUCAAACAAGAAUGUUGUAUUAUAAAUAACCAUGUCCCUAACUGAAUUCAUAAAUCAGACUUUACUUAUCUUUAAUCUCUCUCUUGAGCAUUGUAGAUAUAGCAUCGGCUGCCUCACUGCAGCCCUGACUGGCAUUUGAUCCCUGGGACAGUCUGGUCAGCCUUGAAGCAAUGCAUUCUUCCUCGCAUUAAUCCAUGCCCUGGACCAGAUUGAGGCUUCAUUUCUACUCUAAGCCAUAUCUCUUCCCAGGCUGCUUUCAAAUGACUUUCCCAGUUCACCUCGAGAAAAAUUUUGAGACUGUGCAUUCUGCAGGGUUCCUCGGCAAUUGUCAUGCAGCCAGUGCAGUCCACCCUGGCACCGGCCCAUUAAGGCUCCAGUCGUGCCUCCAAGGUCUGCCCCUGUCGGCAUUUCAUCUUCAGCUCCCACUUCAGCCCAACUGCCUCUGCCAGUUCCAUGAGCCUUGAAGGUCACUUGGUCAAUAAAAAGAUCAAAAGUGAAUAAUGAAGCCUAAAUGUACAAAAAGGCAGCGGAAGAAAGAAAUACAAUUGUAUGGCAGGAAAUAACCUGACACAACUUUUGCCAGAGAAAUGGUUAUAAUGUCAGUUAUAGCUAAUAAAUAGACAGCUGCCUCUAUUACUUACAGAUUUCUUAUGCAUAAUGUUUCUUAGCUGAUACUUGGUCCAUCUGCAAAAGAAAACAAGUAAACAACCUGAUUUCAUUUUUUUUCAUCUCUCACUUCUAUUAACUCUCUUUUAGUGCCUUGAAAAUUGCAGUAUUGGCCAAAAAUAUUCAUUCUAAGUGCUCUUGCAAAUUCCCUGCUUCUCUGAGUUCCUUAUCUGACUGCCCUUUCUUAGCUCAAAUAUAAACUAUUUGUCUUUCAGAGAAACUAUAUAUGUACACUGAACUGUAUGUUGUGAUAGCUUGAAUGCCUAGCCAUCAAUAUAUUCAGGCACCCCCCCACUAAACUGUUCAAAACUUCUCUGUUUCUUAGCAUUGUGAGGAAUGUUAGUUUCAAAUUGCCUGUAACUGUUAAUUAUUGUUGACAUAUAACUAAUUAAAACAUGAAUGAUAGAAAUGAAGGAAAGCUGGUGCUCAAAAGAGUUGAAAAAAUCAAACCCAAAGAUUUGUCUCCAGUUGUGCACUACCUAUUUUAAAAACAAACAACACUGACAUGCCUUCUUUACAUUAAAAAAAAAGUCUUUGGUGUAAAAUUAUUUGAACUAAUUGCACCACAAAUUUAAUAAUACUGCACCUAUAAAUAAUCAAAUUAAAAUUACAUUUACUUAAAUGUGAAAAAAGUUCUGAUUUAUUAGAGUGAAGUGAUGAAGUGCUAUAAAGUCAGAAUAGAAACAAUGAUCAAGCUAAUAAGUAAAAAUGAAGUAAGGAAAAGAGAAAUAUAAGACAAAAGAAAAGAUUAAAUAUACUACAUCUAGGUUAAUUAGUUCUUACAUUAAAUUGAUAAAUACCGUAUACACAGAUUUAAAACAAUAAUUGCCCCAUUAUACAAAAAAAAAAACCUGUGUGCAAUUGCUAUGCACCUCUAUCCUUUUUUAAAGACUCCUCCCUACAGUCCUGCCUAAUCUGCAAAGUCAUUGGAAUGAAAGCUCAAAUAGUACAAGGAACUCCUGAAGCAAGAGGCCAGAAAGAUGCUGAGAGGUCUGGAGCAUCUUUCUUUUUAGGAGACACUGCUGAAUCUGGGCCUGUUUAGUUGAGAGAAUACUGAGAGGGGAUUUCAUCAAUGCACAUGAAUAUCUCCAAGGUGUGUGCCAGGAGGAUGGUGCCAGACUCUUUUUAGUUGUGCCCAGUGACAGGAUGAGGAGCAAUGGCCAUAAACUAAAACACAGGACUUUUCACCUCAAAUGAGGAAUAACUUCUUUACAUAAGGGUGGCAGAGCACUGGAACAGGCUGCCAAGGAGGGCCACAGGGCAGGGACCCUCUCUGAAGAUAGUCAAAACCCACCUGGACACGUUUCUGUGUAACCUGCUCUAGGUGACCCUGCCUUGGCAGAGGGGUUGAUCUAGAUGGUCUCCAGAGGUCCUUUUCAAACCUAAAAAUUAUGUGCUUUUGUGAUUCUGUGAAUGAUUUAACAGAAGGUAAUAAAUAUUAAAUCAAGGUAUUAGGUUGUGAGGAAUGUUUUCAGCAGAAGUCAUAUGAAGAGCAUGACAUGUCAAUGGAAGAAUUUCAGAAACAAAUGUAAAGAAGAGUGGCAGCUUUGUCAUCAAUCUUAUAAUGUUAUGGAUUGAAGAAAAAUGGAUGUACAACAAGGCUUAAAAUCUCUUAGUUUUGUCAAACCAAGUGCAAAUGAGAAAAAGACAAACCAUAAUAGAUGCAUACUUCAGUUACAUGUAUCAAGAAAGAAAUCCAGCAUCAGGAUUUGCCUGUGGAUUAUCAUAUUUUAUGACACUUGGAGAUUCUAUGACUUUUGAGGGAUUCUAUUUAAUUUUAUUCUGUAGUUAACUUAGCCAUUUUCUCUCCUAAAUAAAGUUGCACCUGCGUUUUGUGUAUCUUCCCCAUAACAGAAGAGAAAGAUGCACUUUCCCAGUGUGUUCUAUUAUUAUUAACAAACAUAUUUGUGAUCAGUUGUGAUUAACAAAUGUAUUCAGUGAUCAGCUUUCUUUAUUUUUUUCAUAAAGCAAUGCAGUGAGAAAGGCUGCCAGCAAUUAAAGUACUUCAUCAUUAGUAGUUGUUUUUAAAUAAAUGAACACAGGAAUAAUCUCUUCAUGCAACUGAAUACUUAGGGCUGGACAAGGGAAUCUCAAAGGGAAGUGGAAGAAUUAUUUAACAAAGCUAAGUGUCCAUUAAGGACACUUUGACAGCAAGAAUGUGGAUAUUUGCUAAAUAUGUAAAAUUAAUCUUCACUUGUUCACAUUCUAUGCAACAGAUGACUUUGCUAUGAAAUACUGAGUAUCAUGUCAGUGAAAAUAAAGCAGACUGGUCAUCUUCAGCUAUAUUCCUAUCUUUUUCAAAAUAUUUUUCUGCCUAAACAGAAGUAGAAAAAGAAUUUUUUUUAAAAUAUUGCUUUAUUGGUGGAAAGUUUUAAAAUGCUAUUUGAGACAAAAACCAUCAAGAAUAUUUGUGCCAAACAAAUUGCUAUAUCAGAGAACUGAAGAGCUAAUCCCAUGAAAAAGUGUUUGUAGGAUUAAAGCAAGAUUGCACCAAGUUUUUUGACAAGUGAACAAGAGUGCACUGAACUUGGAACUCGAGUAACAUAUUUUCUGUCUGGGCCUCAACAUCCAUGACUGCUGAGUGCUCAUUCAUAAAAUUCAUGACAAAAGACUAAUUCAGCCCUCUUACAGUCACUUUUGAUAGAUGAAUAGGUUUUAUUCUGACACAGCCAUUAAAAUCAUCUUGGAAAAUUGAAAAAAAAGAGUGCUUUUGACUGUCAUAUAGACAGUUGUUCCCUGAUAGCUCCAAUUCCAAUUUGCAAACAUCUUUAUUGCCGACCUUCAGUUUCCUUGCUAUUUCAUUUUCAAGAUUAAUUAACAAACACACAUAAUGAAUGCAUAAUUAACAGAUGCAUUUGCUUUUAUGUUACUGUAGAUAUGAAACUUGAGAAGAAAACCAUAAGCUUAUUGUAAAUGUUAUGGAACAAAAGGGAGCAUUUCAUUGAAGGAUCAUUACAACUGCAGCCUUCUGGACUCUCUUUGCUGUUUAUCUACUUUACAAUGCAGGUGAAAGCAUUCAGACAGAAAGGAGCUCUACCAAAAAAGCAAAAAGAGAUGUUUGCAAGACGACUGCAGUCAUUUGGUUACAGUGAAGAGAGGAGGACUGCAGGAGCACCAGUCAGUAGUAUAACAACUGAAAUAUUUGCCACAAUUGGUUGUGUGGUUCACACUGUACCCUUACAGAAUUGUGUCGUAAUAAGCAUUGUUGCUUGAAGUUUUCGAAGAAAGAGCUCACUUCCCUCAAAAUGGAUUAUUCUACAAUUAUAUUCCCUGGAUAUUAACUGAUAUGAGGCACCCAUUCAGAUGAAAAUGAAAUCUUGGAGUUAAGUUGCAUGCAACUGUCAAGAAUUUUCAGGGAAAGAAAAAUGGAUACAUCCUUUCAGAACACUUGUGUGCACAGGAAUGAAUGCACCAUUGCAACCUCCCUCUACCCUUCAUUUGCUGAUAUUCCUAAAAUAUAUUUUGGUUUAGAAAACUAAAAAACCCAGGAAGACUGACAAGAUCUUUAGGAAAAACUUCACAAAAAAAUCAAUCAGUAGAACUUGAAAUGAAUUAACACCUAUUUGGAAUAACUUGAGGACAAAAAAGCCCACUUGUGGUAAACGUGACCAGCAGAUGCAUUGCAAAGUCUUCAUUCUAAGCAAUCAUCUAUGUUACCACAUUGAAUGUGUUUGAUGAAGGGGGCUCUCCAAGAUGGUAAAAGAUUGAUUUUCAGUCUGACUGCCAAGUAUGAAAACCAAAAAAAAUUUAUUUUUAAGUGCUAUUAUAUCUUUCAAGAGAAAUACAAAAGACAUAAAAACUUUCCCUGGUGAUCAAAAUGUUCCAUAUAACUAAAAUAAAAUAUUUCAUUUUCAUGCUUAU